rnacentral:tRNA from 1 species
GCCUUCGUAGCUGAGAUGGAUUAGCACGUGACUCGUAAUCACGGGAGGUCGGCUCGAUACCGGACCGGGGGCACCA